rnacentral:pre_miRNA from 1 species
AAUAAAUACAAUUUUACACUGUUUAUAUCUAAUAUUCGAUCGUUUGUUUUAUUUUAAAAAAAUUGUGAUUAGUAUUUAUAUUGUUAUUAGAUGAUAAAACAUAAAUAAUACUUUACGUGUGACUAUUUUUAAAUUCUUUUAUAAUUUUUUAAAUAAGAUGAACGGUCAAACAUUGAACACGGAUUCUCACGGCUGCAUUUAUU